UGUGGGCUGCUGCUGCUCGCGGCGACCAAACCUUACUGCUCAGGUUCCAUUUUCGUUCAUUCCAAUGCUUGCUUUACUGCUUGCCUGGCCUCUGAAUGAAUUCUGCCUUGCGUGCUACUGAUUAGUGAUGGUGGUUGAGGUAACUACUUCCUGCUAGGUGCUUGCCUAGCUUCAGUGAGGCAGGCAAUAAUGCCGGGAUCAUACAUCUAGGAUACCUAUUAAUUCAUAACUUGUUUCUUUUCAAUGGCAGAUUUUGUGUACAAUCUUCAGAAUUACUGUAUGCUGCUCUGUCUGCCUGCAAGAACUUCCCCAGCAUGUAAUUCCGGUGAGGUUGCCGUCACCUCUGCACCGAACUCCUCGUGUCGAUCUGGCGGAGUAGGGUUCUUGCAAUUUGUCAGGGUGUACAAUCUGAACCAUCAAUUUGGUAUUUUUACUCAAGAAACUGAAUUUCAAAAUAUUUUAUUAUGGAUAUAUUUAAUUAGGAUAAUACAAGCAUGCCUGAAAUCUGAGCAGCUGAAUCUCUAGCUCUUCUGAAAAGCUGCUGCUAUUCAGGUGUACAAUCUGAACCAUCAAUUUGGUAUUUUUCCUCAAGAAACUGAAUUUCAAAAUAUUUUAUUAUGGAUAUAUUUAAUUGGGAUAAUACAAGCGUGCCUGAAAUCUGAGCAGCUGAAUCUCUAGCUCUUCUGAAAAGCUACUGCUAUUCAAUGCAGACCCGUUUCGAUGCCUUCCUUCCAACCACGGCGUCCUGCCUGACCGGCUCAGUGCGCUGCCUCUCGCGACGCCGGACGCCACGGUGGCGCCCAAGCCCCCUGUGCCGGAGGCCAUCUCGGAGAGCUCGAGUGCAAAUUCCCAUAUUGCUGCAAUUUGUUUGUUCUAGGGUCUGCUCUGAUCGUGAAUUGUAAAGGGGCUGGGGUUCCAGGCGGAGGGGCUCAAGGUGUUCAGGCAUGCGGUGUCAUACGAGUUCAACUCGAGGUCGGCAAGAAGGUCCUACCAGUGCGCCUGCUCGAGGACGUCAACCACUAGGACUUCAUUGACAUCCCCAUCUUCCGCUCCCAGACCAACGCCGAUGACACAAUGCUCGCCGGGAUCUAGAGGGUAGGGAAAGGGAGCAUCGUCGAGCCCACCAUGCCGCCCUUCCAGCUCGCCCGGCCCAUGCAGCUCUGGGUCUAGGAUGGCGACAAUGUCAGGCUCCCCUUCCCAGUAAGUCCAGUAUACCAGCUCUGGAUCUGAAAUAAGGAUCAUAAUGUCUUAGUAAGGACAACUGAUUAAGAGUUGAACUUGAAUAUUAUUAAGACAUCAUAUUGGAGAGGAGGAUAUUAUUAAGCUGAUAUAUGAGUCCAGAGGUGUAGCCGCUUGAAAGAAGUAGGAUAUGGAGGAGGCAGAGAAGGAGCAUACAUUCCUCCAUGCUAAGCACUGCUCCCUAUCCACCACCAGUGAAGUAUGUCUGUUCCUCAUCUAUGGGCGAAUUCAAAGAGAUUUUCCCCAUUCGUGCAUAUCAAUAUUGUUUCCUAGAUGAUUGAUUUCUAUGCAAGAAAUUGCUUUUGCCCAUCUACUAGAUUUGAUCUGAAUCUUUAUUUGUUGGCAUUUUUUUGUGGUGGUCAUCUAUGCCAGGUUGUAUCCUACACCAGGUUUAAUAUGCCAGGACGUGGAUGUGAAGCAUUUUUUUUCCUAUUUUGCAGUGAUCAUUUCUUCACUAUAAAGUGCAAAGUAAGAUGCAGUUAUAGAUAUAUGAUGAUCUAUAUUGUACAAAAGGGAAAAAGAUCUCGAAUUUGGUUUUCUCUUGAGCACCAAUGGCCACCAGAGGAUCCUUGACAUACAGAGGUAUGUUAUAACUGAUGAACUGAUGACAUUUCACUUGGUCUCGUUUGUCUGCCCAACUGAAUUUUCCGAGCAAAUUAAAUUAUUACAACAGAUUAGCCAUUGUAUAUAUUUGUAUUCUUCUCUAGGACUUGUUGACAACUUGCUGUUGUUAUGUAAGAUAUUUUGGGCCUAAUGACACAGCUUGCAUGCAUGUCUUUUUAAAUGGAGCUAUUAUGAGAAUUUUUACCUUUA